rnacentral:rRNA from 1 species
GUGGAUUAGAUACCCUGGUAGUCCACGCUGUAAACGAUGAGAGCUAGUUGUCGGCACGCAUGCGUGUCGGUGACGCAGCUAACGCAUUAAGCUCUCCGCCUGGGGAGUACGGCCGCAAGGUUAAAACUCAAAGAAAUUGACGGGGGCCCGCACAAGCGGUGGAGCAUGUGGUUUAAUUCGAAGCAACGCGCAGAACCUUACCCACGUUUGACAUGUCCAGUUUGGUCGGCAGAGAUGCCUUCCUUCAGUUCGGCUGGCUGGAACACAGGUGCUGCAUGGCUGUCGCCAACU